rnacentral:misc_RNA from 1 species
UACGUAGGGCGCAAGCGUUAUCCGGAAUUAUUGGGCGUAAAGAGCUCGUAGGCGGUUUGUCGCGUCUGCCGUGAAAGUCCGGGGCUCAACUCCGGAUCUGCGGUGGGUACGGGCAGGCUAGAGUGAUGUAGGGGAGACUGGAAUUCUCGGUGUAGCGGUGAAAUGCGCAGAUAUCGAGAGGAACACCAGUAGCGAAGGCGGUUCUCUGGGAAUGACCUGACGCUGAGGAGCGAAAGUGUGGGGAGCAAACAGG